rnacentral:rRNA from 1 species
CAGUCGCCGCGGUAAUACGAAGGGUGCAAGCGUUAAUCGGAAUUACUGGGCGUAAAGCGUGCGUAGGCGGUGAGUUAAGUCUGCUGUGAAAUCCCCGGGCUCAACCUGGGAAUGGCAGUGGAUACUGGCUCGCUAGAGUGUGUCAGAGGAUGGUGGAAUUCCCGGUGUAGUGGUGAAAUGCGUAGAGAUCGGGAGGAACAUCAGUGGCGAAGGCGGCCAUCUGGGACAACACUGACGCUGAGGCACGAAAGCGUGGGGAGCAAACAGGAUUAGAUACCCCAGUAGUCCCUGUCUCUUAUAC